UUAUAUUUGGGGAGAUGAGGCAAAGAGAGACAGUUUCAUAGAGGAAGCAAUUUUAAAUUUAGCUUUUAAAGAAUAAGUAGCAUUUUGACAGGUGGACUAGGAGGUGGGUGGGCAACAGCCAAAAAAAAAGCAAGAGAGAAAGAAAGAUGCUUUAAAAGCCUAAAACAGUAUAAAGCCUCAAUCAUCCGGCUGCCUCCUGGAGCCAUUUUCCUUUGUGGAGUUUGGGUUUGGCAUAUCGUAGGCACCUAGUCGCUCUUUAUUGAAUGGGAAAAUAAAGGGAUAUACCCAAGCAUAUCAGCUUCAGGUCUUCCGAUGACGAAUGGGAUGGCCAACACUUCAGAACCCUCUAAGGUGCUAAUGGCAGAGAAAAACACCUGCUUUUCACAACGGAGAUGCGUUUUAAACAAAAGGUCUGUUCUGGGAGCUCCACAAGGAAGCAUCCACCAGGCCUAAGAAAGUCUGCAUCCAGGGAUCACCCUUCCGGAGUGGAUCUCACCGACUAGCAAGAACUGAUUGUGUGCAUGUCUUCCCAACUCCACAUUAGCGAUGUCGGAUCAGUUGAUCAAAAUCAGCCACACCAGGCCCUGUGCCCACACUCCGAUGUUGGAGGUUCUCAUUGUGGUCAUCUCCUCCAACGUGUUAAGACUACAGGUCCUACAGAAAUCAUCUCAAAGCCUGUUAAGAACUCAUAGGUGUUUUUUUCUGGGCUAUGCAAAUAAAAUAUUCAUAUAUAUGCAAAGAUUCUUGACUAUCAAUGUAUUUUAUUAACUUAUUAAAAUUAUUAACUGUGCCAGAUGGAUACUAGGGAAGCUCCCAAUGUAAUUAUAGGUCUAGAGCCAUAGUGUUCCAUUCCAAAUGAAUCCCAUGCAAAGCAUAUUUGUGCACUCAAAUAUUUCCAUGAUUAUACACAUCUUCCUUUAUCACAAGCUGCUUUGAUUGUGUUGCAGUGAGUGAUAUGGAGUGUGUAUGGGUUUGUGUGUGUACACACACAAUAAGGCAUAACAUGUUGUACUAAAUAGAACAUGGCUUUUGGACUGUGGUAGAUCCGUGUUUAAACUCCAUUUCCAC